ACAAUCCUUGAUUUAUAUUGAUUUGACAAUAAAUGCCGCUGAGGUGUCAACACCAAACUUAUUCCAACCAUUUUUAUUUAUUUUAAUUAUAAUAUUAUUCCAUUAGAUGAUUAGGAUUUCCAAUAGCUGUGUUUUAUUGUUCCACUCCAUUUGAAAUUCAAAAUCCUAAACCUAAACUUGAAAACUUAUUUUUCUACGCAUUAUUAAAAUUUUCUGUCAUUACCUAUGUUAUUGCUAUCAUCCAGACUAACUUUACAUGUUCCAAGCAAUUACAAAUAAAUGAGUAUUAAUAACAAUUUUUCACAUUUACACGCUAUUUACACGCUAGGGAUAUGAAAGGGAGGGUUUAGAGAAUACAAACAACUAAUCUUUCUCAUCUUAUUUUCAUUCCUCCUCUCAAUGUCCAAUUUUUUUUCCUUCAACCUCCAGUUGAAAAAAUUUACAAUCUGUGAAAACCCUCCUUCUUCUUCUUCUUCUUUUUUUGAUUUUCCAUACCAAUACUAAUUUAUAUAGUUGUGGUGUUUGUUUCUGUUUCCAGAUCCAGAAGCCAUAACACUCAACUUCACCGGCAAAGCCAUAACAUGUCGUGGAUGCUCCGGCAACAACGAAAGUCGCAAGAAAGUUUAUGAUUUGGCUUUAUUUGAGUUGAUAUAUUUAUGUUGAUUCUUGCUACGGGAUGAUUUAUUGGGUUUACACCUAUUGUUCAAAUAUUGUUCUAUUUUGCAUCUACUCACUGACAGUUAAUAUUAGUAUUUGAAUUCUUCAAUUGGAGAUGCAAAAUCAGAGAUCUUCAUAAUAGGUUGGUGGCCUUUUAUGGAAAAAAAAAGCUAAAUUAAGUAGGAAGUCUUUCGGUGAAAAUGUUGUCGGAUACUUUGCAUAUUCGGAAAAAGGAUUCAAGCAGCAUCUCUGUGUAUGAUUGAAUAGAAAAUGGAGUUUAGAAUCAGAAGCAUUGGAAUGAAAUAUAUUGUACCGAUGAAAACCAUCAUUGGAAUUAUAGUGAUCGAGAAUAGUUGCAAGAAUGGAAUUGAGUGUGUUCAAGAGUCAAUCUUUUUUUUAGGUUUCAUAUUGCAUUUGAAAUAUUAUGAAAUAAACUUCUAAUUUUUUUA